CCCUGCUUAGUUUCAACAGUAUCAUCCCCGCUCUCAAGGCAGAUCUCCAUCUCAUUCUUUUCAUUGCCUUGCAGAACAGCACGGAACUGGCCUUCAAGUAGAGGAAGGAAGACGGUGUAAAUAGUCUGGGCAUCAUCCUGAACUCCUUCACCACCAUCCCUACUUUCCACUAGCAUGAACUGGGUCUCCAAAGGAAUGUCUUUCCCACAAAUGCCCAUCCUCUGGGUCAUCCACCAUAACUUGAAACGGAAACAACACAUAAAACGAAGACCUUCUAAAACGCCAACAGGAAAGACAUGGAGACUUUUGCUAUGAGAAGCAGUGGCACCAAUAAAUGCACCAGCAACGAGUCCCACACCCGAUCCAGGAGUCAAGAUGAUGUUGUCUGGCACUCCAGUUAAAAUGGUCUUCCCAUGAACCACAAGGUUCCCAUCGUUGAUUGAAAUCUUGGGUGUGACAGUCAUUGUUGAUGAGCACCGAGUUACAGCAAAGAAAGAGUCACAACUAGCUAGGAGAUGAGCAGCUCUUGCUCUUGCAAAGCUUAAGGAAGCUUUAUAAAUAAAAUUCAGAAUGUGUAAAGCUCAAUAGAAGCGCAAUCACGAGGGAGUGCUUCUUCUACGAGAGAUUGAUACGCUCACAGCAAAGCUCAGUUGCAGAAAUGGGUAAGCGGCGGCACA
rnacentral:misc_RNA from 1 species